rnacentral:tmRNA from 1 species
CCCUUGGCAAUCGCGGGGAAUCGUUCCUAUAUUCAUCCUGUCCUUCGGGACUAUGGACAUAAACGCGCCCGUAAUAAGCGGAUCGGACCCGGGGGCGGUACCCGGCGGCUCCACCAGAACCCGUUCAUUUGGCGGCUAUGGGGCCGAAACAGGAUCGACGGACGUCUAAAGGGGUUAGCUUUGUCUCGGUGAGGUACCACCGUUACCGGUCCGAACAGUACAAUUGCAAAUGACAAUCGUGCUCCGGUUGCUCUGGCUGCGUAAGCAGUCCGAAAGACCAAAACUUAAGCCCUUGCGCCUAGCCGCGUAAGGCGGGGUUCGCAGGCACCUGGCAACAGAAGCCUGCACU